GGGCGAGAAGCCUGAAGGCAGCAACGCCGGCGUGAGUGGAUGACGGCCUUCGGAGUUGUAAACCUCUUUUAGCAGGGAAGAAGCGAAAGUGACGGUACCUGGAGAAAAAGUGCCGGCUAACUACCUGCCAGCAGCCGCGGUAAUACUUACGGCGCAAGCGUUAUCCGGAAUUAUUGGGCGUAAAGAGCUCGUAAGCGGUUUGUCACGUCUGCUGUGAAAUCCCGAGGCUCAACCUCGGGCCUGCAGUGGGUACCGGCAGACUAUAGUGGGGUAGGGGAGAUUGGAAUUCCUGGUGAAGCGAUGGAAUGCCCAGAUGUCACGAGGAACACCGAUGGCAAAGGCAGAUCUCUGGGCCGUAACUGACACUGAGGAGCGAAAGGGUGGGGAGCAAACAGGCUUACAUACCCUGGUAAUCCACCCCGUAAACGUUGGGAACUAGUUGUGGGGUCCAUUCCGCGGAUUCCGUGACGCAUCUAACCCUUUAAGUUCCCCGCCUGGGGAGUACGGCCGCAAGGCUAAAACUCAAAGGAAUUGACUGGGACCCGCACAAGCGGCGGAGCAUGCGGAUUAAUUCGAUGCCACGCGAAUAACCUUACCAAGGCUUGACAUAUACUACAACGGGCCAAAAAUGGUCAACUCUUUGGACACUCGUAAACCCGUUGUGCGUGGUUGUCGUCAGCUCGUGUCUGGAGAUGUUGGGCUAAGUUCCGCAACUAGCGCAACCCUCGUUCUAUGUUGCCAGCACGUAAUGCUGGGAAGUCAUGGGAUACUGCCGGGGUCUACUCGGAGUGAGGUGGAGAUGACGUCAAAUCGUCGUGCCCAUUUUGUCUUGUGCUGCACCUUUGCUACAAUGGCCCGUACAUAGGGCUGCGGUACCAUGAGGUGGCACCGAUCCCACAAAGCCGGUCCCAUUUUCGGAUUGAUGUUCUGCAUUCGGACCCCAGACUUCAGACUCACUGGUAGUCCCUGAUCUCCAUCGCUAGCGCGAAUACGUUUCCCGGCGCUUGUACCUCCCCCCGUCUAGUCAUGAAAGCCCGUACCACCUGAAGCCUGUUGUCCUACCCCUUGUCGGAGG
rnacentral:rRNA from 1 species